rnacentral:tmRNA from 1 species
GGGGGCGAGUCAGAUUCGACGAGGGUGAUAUAGGUAGGGGCGGCAGGUCGAGUCCCGCGGCUCGUAAAACCGUGGAACUGAUUUAAACGCAAACGAUAAUUACGCCCUAGCUGCUUAAAAAUAGCAGCUACAUCCGCCCGCACCCGGCCUGUGGGUACGGUAACGGGUGUCAUUUAAACAGGCUACUGCCCCAUCCUCGUCCGGCGAAGGGGUAGGAAACCUACGGACUAGUUCCCGGGGCAUCCAGCCGUUGGGAGUCUCCGGGGGCAAAAACAAAAACUGCGGCUAAACCUGUAGAAGCUCGUGCAAAUACACUUUCGGACGGGGGGUGCAACUCCCCCCCGCCUCCACCA